rnacentral:rRNA from 1 species
ACCAGGCUAUUUCCGUCCCCCGCCCCGCUAAUACGGGGGGGCCACCCUUCAUUGAAAUAAUUGGCCUAAAGCCCCCCGGCCGUUGGUCAAUUGGAAGGAAAUACCCGGCUCCACCUGGGAGUGCUUCCGAACAGGCGGCUAGGGUUUGUUGAGGGGGCGGAUUCCAGGGCAGCCCUGAAAGCGUAAAUAUCUGUGGAAAACCGUGCAGAGGACGGCUCCUGGACAAAGACGGGCGCUCAGAUCUGAAAACCUGUGAGCAAACAGGGGGAGAUACCCCGUCGUGCACGCCGCAAACAUGUCGACAUUGAGCGGUGCCCCCGGAGCGCUGCGUCCGGAGACAACACGCUAACUCGCCAGCCUCGGAGCACUUCCCCAAAGGGCAACUCAAAUGAAAUUCGACGGGCCGCACACACGCGGAGCCCAUGUUCAUUAUGUUGCGACGCGGGAAGCCCCUUCCUACUGUCACGCCCAGAGAACUGCGCAGAGAUGUUUUUCCCUUUGGGGAACUUUGACACAGGUGGCGCAUGGCUGUCCUCAGCUCGUGUUGAGAAAUGUUGGGUUAAGUCCCGCAACGAGCGCAACCCUUAUCCUUUGUUGCCAGCGGUUCGGCCGGGAACUCAAAGGAGACUCCCAGUGAUAAACUGGAGGAAGGUGGGGAUGACGUCAAGUCAUCAUGGCCCUUACGAGUAGGGCUACACACGUGCUACAAUGGCAUAUACAAAGAGAAGCGACCUCGCGAGAGCAAGCGGACCUCAUAAAGUAUGUCGUAGUCCGGAUUGGAGUCUGCAACUCGACUCCAUGAAGUCGGAAUCGCUAGUAAUCGUGGAUCAGAAUGCCACGGUGAAUACGUUCCCGGGCCUUGUACACACCGCCCGUCACACCAUGGGAGUGGGUUGCAAAAGAAGUAGGUAGCUUAACCUUCGGGAGGGCGCUACGCACUUU